rnacentral:rRNA from 1 species
UAAUACGGAGGGGGUUAGCGUUGUUCGGAAUUACUGGGCGUAAAGCGUACGUAGGCGGAUCAGAAAGUUGGGGGUGAAAUCCCGGGGCUCAACCCCGGAACUGCCUCCAAAACUCCUGGUCUUGAGUUCGAGAGAGGUGAGUGGAAUUCCAAGUGUAGAGGUGAAAUUCGUAGAUAUUUGGAGGAACACCAGUGGCGAAGGCGGCUCACUGGCUCGAUACUGACGCUGAGGUACGAAAGUGUGGGGAGCAAACAGGAUUAGAUACCCUGGUAGUCCACACCGUAAACGAUGAAUGCCAGUCGUCGGGCAGUAUACUGUUCGGUGACACACCUAACGGAUUAAGCAUUCCGCCUGGGGAGUACGGUCGCAAGAUUA